CCCCGGCGCCACAAGUGGGAACCACGUUUAUUGGGUCUAAGGCAUCCGUAGCCGGCUUGUUAAAUGCCCUGUGAAAUCGUUCUGCCUAACAGGACGGCGUGCAGGGUAGACUGGCAAGCUUGGAACCAGGAAAGGUAUGCGGUAUUCUGUGGGGAGCGGUAAAAUGCUAUAAUCCACAGAGGACCACCGAUGGCGAAGGCAGCAUACUUGAAUGGAUUCGACGGUGAGGGAUGAAAGCCAGGGGAGCGAUCCG
rnacentral:rRNA from 1 species